rnacentral:rRNA from 1 species
AGCAGCCGCGGUAAUUCCAGCUCCAAUAGCGUAUAUUAAAGUUGUUGCAGUUAAAAGCUCGUAGUUGAAUUUCGGGGUCAGCAGGUCGGUCGUGCCAAUGGUAUGCACUGGCCUUGCUGAUUCCUCCCUCUUGAUGAGCCGUAAUGCCAUUAAUUUGGUGUUGCGGGGAAUCAGGACUGUUACUUUGAAAAAAUUAGAGUGUUAAAGCAGGCAAGCGCUUGAAUACAUUAGCAUGGAAUAAUGAAAUAGGACGUUUGAUCCUAUUUUGUUGGUUUCUAGGAUUGACGUAAUGAUUAAUAGGGAUAGUUUGGGGGGUCAUUAGUAUUUCAAUUGUCAGAGGUGAAAUUCUUGGAUUUAUUGAAGACUAACUACUGCGAAAGCAUUUGCCAGGAUGUUUUCAUUAAUCAAGAACGAAAGUUAGGGGAUCGAAGACGAUCAGAUACCGUCGUAGUCUUAACCAUAAACUAUGCCGACUAGGAAUCGGACGAAG